ACUCCUACGGGAGGCAGCAGUGGGGAAUAUUGCACAAUGGGCGCAAGCCUGAUGCAGCCAUGCCGCGUGUAUGAAGAAGGCCUUCGGGUUGUAAAGUACUUUCAGCAGUGAGGAAGGUAGUGUAGUUAAUAGCUGCAUUAUUUGACGUUAGCUGCAGAAGAAGCACCGGCUAACUCCGUGCCAGCAGCCGCGGUAAUACGGAGGGUGCGAGCGUUAUCCGGAUUUAUUGGGUUUAAAGGGUCCGUAGGCGGAUUAAUAAGUCAGUGGUGAAAUCCCAUCGCUUAACGAUGGAACUGCCAUUGAUACUGUUAGUCUUGAAUGAGGGUGCAGUGGUUGGAAUGUGUAGUGUAGCGGUGAAAUGCAUAGAUAUUACACAGAACACCGAUUGCGAAGGCAGAUCACUAACCCUAAAUUGACGCUGAGGGACGAAAGCGUGGGGAGCGAACAGGAUUAGAUACCCUGGUAGGAUAGCGU
rnacentral:rRNA from 1 species